GGAAGUAAAGUCGUAACAAGGUUUCCGUAGGUGAACCUGCGGAAGGAUCAUUAAUAAUGGUCUACGUUUCUAAGUAGACGCUUAAUAUCCUACCUUUGUGAAUUUGUUUGUUUUGAAAUAAUUUUUUUUAAAAUUAUUGAAUGUCUUCCUGUUGAAUUGGUUGUCUUAAUGGCAAUGAUUCGCAGGGAGUGUCAAUAAUUUUAAAAAGACCUUUUUUUAAAUUAAACUUUUGUAUUCAUUUGUCUAAAAUUAUUUUUAUAACAUAAAACAACUUUUGACAAUGAUCUCUUGGUUCUCGCAACGAUGAAGAACGCAGCAAAAUGCGAUAAGUAGUGUGAAUUGCAGAAUACGUGAAUCAUCGAAUCUUCGAACGCAUAUUGCACUUUUUAGUUUACUAAAAAGUAUGUCUGUUUGAGUAUCAGUAAAAUAUUCUCAUAAAAAACAUUGUUUUUUUAUGGUUAUGAGUGUUUACAACGAUACAAGUUGUUUCACUUAAUUUUUUAAAAUUUGAAUUUUUCUAAUUUAAAAUAAAUGGAUAAAAUUUUCCCGUAAAAAGGAAUAACCUAAACAAUUUUAGUUUUUGAUUAGAAUUUUCAUAUAAAGGAAAAUUUAAUAAAUAACUUGAUCUCAAAUCAGAUAAGAGUACCGCUGAACUUAAGCAUAUCAAUAGCGGAGGAAAAGAAACUAACAAGGAUUCCUUAGCACGGCGAGUGAAGCGGAAGAGCUCAAAUUUGAAAUCUUCAAGGUUUACCUUGACGAAUUGUAGUUUAAAGAAGUGUUUCUGUUGAAGUUUGGUAAAAGUUCUUUGGAAUAGGACAUCAUAGAGGUGAGAAUCCGUAUUGACCAUUAUUUUCAGCUGUGUGAUACACUUUCAAAGAGUCGGAUUGUUUGGGAAUGCAGUCCAAAAUGGGUGGUAAAUUUCAUCUAAAGCUAAAUAUUGCGAGAGACCGAUAGCGACAAGUACCGUGAGGGAAGAUGAAAAGAACUUGAAAGAGAGUUAAACAGUACGUGAAAUUGUCAAAAGGAGCGUUUGACACCAGUGUUGUUUUCUCGAAAUCAAUUAAGAAAGUUGGAUUUUGUGUUGUAUGACCUUAACAGCUUGCUUCACUCUUUCCUGCUUUUUUUAAUGCACUUUCGUUUAACAAGUCAACAUCAGUUUCUUUUGUUGUAAAGGGUCAUUGGAAGGUGGCUUUCUCUUCGGAGAAAGUGUUAUAGUCUUUGAUCUCUGCAAUCGAGAGACUGAGGUCUGCAGCGUAGAUCUCGGGUUAGAUACAUUUGUGCUAAGCUACAGCUUUUCAUAGACAACUUGUUGACUAUGUUUAGUCAUGCGGCUUACUCGCUUGUGCUAUUUACCUACGCUUAGGAUG
rnacentral:misc_RNA from 1 species